GUCAGCACCCCGCUCUAAAGAGACGGGGCUUCAUGCCUCUAACUUUGGAUAGUUGACCCGCCUAAGUCUUAAUUGACUACGUUAUCGGCAAGUGUUAAAGACCCACCAAUGGAUGCGAAGCUAGUCCGUUGCUCUGGAACUUAAAAGUUAAACAGUUUUACGAGGGGUAAGACAGUGAUGACCGAGAUAGUUACCGACCGAUAACAUUGGCGAAGCUAACAUUACCCGACAAAUGUG
rnacentral:sRNA from 1 species